CUUGGAACAUAUUCUACAUUGUGACCAAUAGAAGGCCUCCAGGUGGACAGAGUAUCACUUCAAUUAAUUAAACCCAGAAAUCAAAUUAUUCAAAUUAGCAAUUCUUAAAAUACAACUUCUGCACUAUUUCAUUUCAUAAAAAUACUCUCAAAGCAUUUGGUUCAAGGGUGAAGCGUUCUGGAAUCGUUCUAGAAUGCAAUACCAUAUCGCAAUACUCACCGAGCGACCAUCGCCAGCAUCGCUAUAGCCAGGAGGUUGCCGGUACAACUGCGGUGAGGCUAGGCGUGUCCUUCACUCUGGUGUUCUGAAGCUCUUGUUCUUAUGUGAAUUGGAUCUAGAUCUCGAAGUAGAAGGUCCAUACCAUAUGAGCUGCCGCUGUUUUCACAAAUAUUACACCUCUAUCAUCACUCUUAUUUACAAAUCUGCCAUUCUCCAUUUUGAUCAGUUUUUGUUCUGGGGUGUUCUUGUUUUCUUUUGGGGUUUUGAUCUUUUGUUUUGUGUUCUUAUUUUGG
rnacentral:misc_RNA from 1 species